rnacentral:rRNA from 1 species
AUUGAACGCUGGCGGCAUGCCUAACACAUGCAAGUCGAGGGGUAUAGUUCUUCGGAAUUAGAGACCGGCGCACGGGUGCGUAACGCGUAUGCAAUCUACCUUUCACAGAGGGAUAGCCCAGAGAAAUUUGGAUUAAUACCUCAUAGUAUAGCAGUUUCGCAAUGGAAACCACUAUUAAAAGUCACAACGGUGAAAGAUGAGCAUGCGUCCCAUUAGCUAGUUGGUAAGGUAACGGCUUACCAAGGCUACGA